rnacentral:lncRNA from 1 species
CGCCCUAUAAUUGCACUUUGGACCAUCUUCUCUCUAACUCCUCCAAAGCCUUCACAUGAUCAGUCUAAGUCUUCCCUAGACUUAACUUCCCAAGAUAACUACUUCAGAACACUUCUGAAGCUUGAUUGAACUCUUCUUGACAUCUUCUAGAGCUUGCCCUAUUAUUGUACAAGCUCUAUCUUCUCUUCAGUUCAACACUCCCCCUCAAGCUUGACUUUAGGAGAUCCUAAGCCAAGCUUGGAACUCUGAAGAGUCUCCCUCAUUAAAAACCUUACAAGGAAAACCCAUUGGGACAAAACCUUGCAAGGGAAAAAGAGUAGAGCUCUCCAAAGCCUAGGGAUUGGCCAGUGAGCUCU